UACGGAGGGUGCAAGCGUUAAUCGGAAUUACUGGGCGUAAAGCGCACGCAGGUGGCUGAGUCAGUCGAUUGUGAAAGCCCUGGGCUUAACCUGGGAAUUGCAGUCGAUACUACUCAGCUAGAGUAUGGGAGAGGGUAGUGGAAUUCCCGGUGUAGCGGUGAAAUGCGUAGAUAUCAUCAGGAACACCGGUGGCGAAAGCGGCUUACUGGGUCUCUUCUGACGCUGAGGAACGAAAGCUAGGGUAGCGAACGGG
rnacentral:rRNA from 1 species